rnacentral:rRNA from 1 species
AGUGAACGCUGGCGGUAGGCCUAACACAUGCAAGUCGAACGGCAGCACAGUAAGAGCUUGCUCUUACGGGUGGCGAGUGGCGGACGGGUGAGGAAUACAUCAGAAUCUACUUUUUCGUGGGGGAUAACGUAGGGAAACUUACGCUAAUACCGCAUACGACCUACGGGUGAAAGCAGGGGAUCUUCGGACCUUGCGCGAUUGAAUGAGCCGAUGUCGGAUUAGCUAGUUGGCGGGGUAAAGGCCCACCAAGGCGACGAUCCGUAGCUGGUCUGAGAGGAUGAUCCGCCACACUGGAACUGAGACACGGUCCAGACUCCUACGGGAGGCAGCAGUGGGGAAUAUUGGCCAAUGGGCGCAAGCCUGAUCCAGCCAUACCGCGUGGGUGAAGAAGGCCUUCGGGUUGUAAAGCCCUUUUGUUGGGAAAGAAAAGCAGCAGGUUAAUACCCCGCUGUUCUGACGGUACCCAAAGAAUAAGCACCGGCUAACUUCGUG